UCAGAGCUCCGUAGUUCGGAGUAGAAAAUAUUUGUGUGUUGGUUGAUUUUACCUUUGAAAAAAGGGUUUUCGGGAUGAUUCCCUAAGGCACAAAAAAUGAGUUUGAUGAGUUGUAUUAUUUUUACCUUGAAUAAGGGUUUUAUGAAAGAAUAUUUGUGAUUAUAUUGUACUAAAGUCUAUGGGCAAAGGUGAUUAUUCUAGACAACAAGCCAAGCGUCUUGCGUCCAAAAUAAUCAGAGUAAGGAUAGGAAUGCUCCAUUCUCA
rnacentral:lncRNA from 1 species